rnacentral:tRNA from 1 species
CAUUAGAUGGCUGAAAGCAAGCACUGGUCUCUUAAACCAUAAUAUAGUAAAUUAGCACCUACUUCUAAUG